AGCAUGGCUUGAUGGUGUUUUAAGCCACCAACAUUGACUUCAAGGCACCUAACCAAUGCCUAAUCCUAGUGCCUUCCAGACAGCGCUGCCUGGAAGGAGACGUUGGGGCCUUUAACACCAAACACCAUGAGCAUUGUGUGUUGCUUUACGAACACAUUA